ensembl:lncRNA
AUGCUUUUAAACCAUUCACAUGUCCCGCUAUAUUCUCCCCUAGAUCCAUCCAGGACCAAGCAGGGAGGAAAAACUGCUGUUUUGGUUGAGAAUGUGGCAUUCUUCAGUAAAAUGCUAGUGGAAAAACUCUACUCUGGAAUGUUUGUGGUGGAGCCAGAGAACCUCUUGGUCUUCAUGGCUGAACAGAUAGCAGUGGCACUGGAGAGAGGUCAUGGUCAUCGGGAAAUAACGGUUGGCGUUCUGUACAAAAACUUGAACCGAGCCGUGCUUUACUUCCUGUCUCGACCCAGACAGACUCCAGCUGAGCAGGAACUCAUUAUUCAAACAAUUUGCGUGUUACAGCAACACUGGGAUGUGAUCAUGGCAAAAUACAAUGCCAAUGUCCACUUCAUCAGCUGUCUCAUGCACUGCCUCGUCCUUAUCCGCUCUGGCAGCUUUCUUGAAGGGUUUGGCUGUGAAGUCCAUAAAAAACCCACAAGAAACAUCUGGAGGCAUAUUCUUCCACACAAGAACAGCCAGGUGAUGUCGCAGACCAAGGUCACAGAUUCAGCAGAAGUGGAGUCAGAGCUGAUGCUGCUUGUGGAAAGCACCUGGAAUAGAGUCAUGCGGGAGCGAAGACAGGCACUAGAGGAGGCCUAUAAAAUCGACCUGUCUGCUAAGCCGGGCAGCAAGGAGGGCCAGGUUUCUAUGGGUGAUGUGAGCCCUCUGUGGGAGGAGACGGCCAUGAAAGCUUGGCAGCUCUUUAUAGACUCUCAGAAGAAAAAAGCAAAUAAUGGUCACCAGAAGAGGGCAGGACUUCUCAGCAGUGCAUUGCAAUCUGUGCAGAAGAGGUUUGGGAAGGAUACAGUCGGCACUCCUGAGGGGUUCAUCUUGGACAUGGAAGCACACUGGCAAACUUGUGAGACCAUAUUUGACAGCAUGUUGAGGAGUCACGCACAGAUGAUGCAUAGUGAGAAGGAUCGUAUGGCCAUUCAGUGGCUAAGAAUAGAGGAAGACUUGCUUAGAGAGAGGGGUCUCUUCGGCCCUGGUCCAGGAGUCUUCCUCAAAAGAGGCUGGGUGCAGAACACUGCAGAGGGGCGCAACCGAACACGAUCCCGAAUUCGCAGAAAGCAGCUACGUCGAUCCAAAAGGGUGAGCUAUUAUCACCGUACAUUAAAAAAAAAUAUUUCUGGCUGAAGAAUAUUGAUAACAUAAUAUUCUGAGCUUUAAAUUAAAUAAAGAUGCAUGUUUUAUUUUGUAUUAUUAUUAU